CAGCCGCGGUAAUUCCAGCUCCAAUAGCGUAUNUUAAAGUUGCUGCAGUUAAAAGCUCGUAGUUGAAUUUCGGGACCAUCAUGUCGGUCGUGCCUCGGUACGAACUGGUAUUGUUGGUUUCUCCCUUCUGACGAACCAUGAUGUCAUUUAUUUGGUGUUGUGGGGAAUCAGGACUGUUACUUUGAAAAAUUAGAGUGUUUAAAGCAGGCUCACGCUUGAAUACAUUAGCAUGGAAUAAUGAGAUAGGACGAGCGAUCCUAUUUUGUUGGUUUCUAGGAUUGACGUAAUGAUUAAUAGGGAUAGUUGGGGGUAUUAGUAUUCAAUUGUCAGAGGUGAAAUUCUUGGAUUUAUUGAAGACUGACUACUGCGAAAGCAUUUGCCAAGGAUGUUUUCAUUAAUCAAGAACGAAAGUUAGGGGGAUCGAAGCGAUCAGAUACCGUCGUAGUCUUAACCAUAAACUAUGCCGACUAGGGAUCGGAUGAUGUUAAUUUUUUAAUGACUCAUUCGGCGCCUUACG
rnacentral:rRNA from 1 species